rnacentral:lncRNA from 1 species
GUAGAACCACAUCAGAACAGUUUUUAGUAUGGGUUUUGUGCCACUGAAAAACAGCGCAGGAGAGCUGUCCUUACAAGAGAGAUGCUGGAGAUAUUUCUGGUGCAUUGAUUUGGAAAUCAUCAAGUAGAAUCCUAAAUGCCAAGGCCUGAAAACCUGUCUCCACUGUUCUUUCCUUCCCUUUUAAGGCUGGCAGAACUGCAAGCUGGGAUAACACCAAGGUUGCAAUUGAUAGAAGAAUCAAAUUUCCUUGGAGAAGACAAAAUGUAUAUGAAGUGCCUCCUGCAGAGCCAGGGAUGUCAUAGGUGCUCAGUAAAUAGUCCAUUUCUCAAAUCAGUUGGAAUCAGUAAGAAUGGAAGAAUGAUUGAAAGAUUUCUCCUGCACCUCCCUCACCCCCAAUAAUGCCAACACAUUUGAACUGUGAUUGUGGGCAAUUCAGAGACAUGGAUAAAUUUUUAAAAGGUGCCCAAUCUGGUGAGAUUUGCCAAGCCUACACAAGAGUAAUGAGAGACAUCAUAAGACAGUGUUAUUUGGGUUUGUGUAUUUGAAUAAUCAGGACAUUUCUAAGUGGAGAAGGAGUAGCAUUCUAGACAGAAAGGACCAAUGAGGAAGGGUGGAAAUGAUGGGUGUUUUCAAGUAAUGUGGUGGGAAUUAAUGUAGCAUUGCUGGAGAAUGAGUAUAUACGGGGAAGAAUUGGGAAAUAAAGCUUUGAAAAGUAGAUUUGCC